rnacentral:lncRNA from 1 species
CUUCGUUGGCGAUUGGUAGUCUCUUGUUCCCUCAGUUUGUUUUCUAGGUGUGCAUGUUCCAGUCCCGAGUGCCCGUCCCGUCAGUUCCUGCCUCUUGUUCUUCAGUCCUGGUCCAUCGUUCCUGUCCGGUAUUUCGUCACGUCUCAGGGUUGCGGUCAGACUCACAGAUUAGCGUUUCACUGUUCACCGUAGUUCCAACACCGUGUGUGUUUCCUGGUCUCGUGUUUCUUGUUUCACUUCCACCGAGUGUCUUACAAUACUCACCGUACACGUCUAACCUCACACUGCACGUGAAGUCAUUAUAUAUUUCGUCUGUGUUUGGACGUAAUAGCAACGCGCGUCCGUGUCGGACUCCCGUCCGGACGCUACAGAAGAAUCCGCCUGCUAAUAUGACUUCAGCGGAAUGGCGUGAGCUGGCGGAUCUGACAGAGGCGAACCAAGAACGGCUCCUGGUUUGCGCAAACGCCGCUAGCCGCCUCACAGAUCAGUUGGAGCAGUUGACACGACUCCUCAGUCACGGUGGGCGGGGCGCCGAUCCGACCAGUUCGCAAACGCAUGAUGAUUGGCGGACAUGUCUUUUUGAUCGUCUUUAUGCUUCCUCGGGUCCUCGCGCGGAGCCCACGAGCCCUGUGCAGACCAAUGGGAUCAGCGCUACUGAGCAGCUGUCCGUUCCCUUCCCGGAGGCUUUGCAAAGUCGUAGAGGUCUCCAGUGGAGAAGACAUCCAGCCCCCGAUUGUCAAGACCACUCUCUCAGGAGUUCUCGCCGGAUUACCGGAGCAACUCCGGGUCCAGCCGGACCCCGACGCCGCCAGGGCAGCAGGUGCCCUACAGCCCUGUGGACAGUGAGCCGGCUCAAGCACGCAACCUUGUCAGCUGUGCAGGGCUCGAAGAACAGUGCGUCAGACAGGGAAUAAUACGACUCAGUAACGGGCGUUUGACAGAGGAGGAAAGGAGGCGCCGUUUUCUGCAACGCUUGUGCUUUUACUGUGGAGCUGCGGAUCACGUGCAGGUUUCCUGUCCAGUGCGGCCACCCCGUGGAUCCCAACGGACCGACUUACUGGUGAGUGAUGUAUCUCUCCAUAC